GCUGUUGUGGCUGAGUGGUUAUGAUGCUUGCAUUCAUGUGCUCAUAUAAUCAUAUAAUGGUGUCAGGUUCAAACCCUGGUGAGGGCA